UACGUAGGGGGCUAGCGUUGUCCGGAAUCAUUGGGCGUAAAGCGCGUGUAGGCGGUCCGGUAAGUCCGCUGUGAAAGUCGGGGGCUCAACCCUCGGAUGCCGGUGGAUACUGUCGGGCUUGAGUACGGAAGAGGCGAGUGGAAUUCCUGGUGUAGCGGUGAAAUGCGUAGAGAUCGGAAAGAACACCAACGGCGAAAGCACUCUGCUGGGCCGACACUGACACUGAGAGACGAAAGCUAGGGGAGCGAAUGGG
rnacentral:rRNA from 1 species